GACGAACGCUGGCGGCGUGCCUAACACAUGCAAGUCGAGCGGUUCAAACAGCAAUGUUUGGAUAGCGGCGGACGGGUGAGUAACGCGUGGGUAACCUGCCUUGUACAGGGGGAUAACACAGGGAAACUUGUGCUAAUACCGCAUAACAUCAGACCAUCACAUGGUGGACUGAUCAAAGGAGCAAUCCGGUAUAAGAUGGACCCGCGUCCGAUUAGCUAGUUGGAGGUGUAACGGACCACCAAGGCGACGAUCGGUAGCCGAACUGAGAGGUUGAUCGGCCACAUUGGGACUGAGACACGGCCCAGACUCCUACGGGAGGCAGCAGUGGGGAAUAUUGCGCAAUGGGGGAAACCCUGACGCAGCAACGCCGCGUGAAGGAUGAAGGUUUUCGGAUUGUAAACUUCUUUAGUCGGGGACGAAAAAAUGACGGUACCCGAAGAAUAAGCCACGGCUAACUACGUGCCAGCAGCCGCGGUAACAC
rnacentral:rRNA from 1 species